rnacentral:rRNA from 1 species
UACGUAGGGUGCAAGCGUUUGUCCGGAAUUAUUGGGCGUAAAGAGCUCGUAUGGCGGUCUGUCGCGUCGGCUGUCGAAAUCCCGAGGCUCGAACCUCGGGUCUGCAGUCGAUACGGGCAAACUGGAGUGUUGCAGGGGAGACUGGAAUUCCUGGUGUAGCGGUGAAAUGCGCAGAUAUCAGGAGGAACACCGGUGGCGAAGGCGGCCUGCUGGGGCAGUUGCUGACACUGAGGCGCGACAGCGUGGGGAGCAAACAGG